AUCUGGGCAGCUUAGACAUAAGUCUGUGCCAGAUGUCUCCAAAGCUGUCUGAUACUUAACUUUCAGGCUUAGCUGGUAUCAAAUGCCAAGGAAUUUUUGCUACCUAAACCCAUCUGCAGGAAAUAGGCCCAACUACCAGAUGAGAACUAGGUCUCUAGUUACCAUUCAUUUCAUUCAUUUCUGCCAUUCCAUAUCCAUAAACAGCACCACUAACAUCAUGCACAAGAUUAGAUUCCUAAUAUUCUUGACUGUAUAUUUGUAUGAUAUUUUAAAACCUCCUAAAUGGCCAUUCACAGUUGCUUUGCACUGGCCUUCUGAUAAAAUGUUAACACACCUAUUGUAAUAUACAAAAAACAUUCUAUCUACUGAUUUGGACUGAAUGUAUGUACAUAGGCUUUACAAAAAAGUCAGACGUCGAAGCAGUGGUUUACAGAUCAGUGAUUUUCAGAUAGAGUUUCUUUCAGUUGCCGUGGAAUCUUUCAAAAGCACUCUUAGUGUGAACUUAAUGAACUCUAGGGGUCCUGGUGAUCAGAGUCGCCUAGAGAGGAAACCUUUCCUUUUAUUAAUAUGAAGCAAGAUACCAGACUAUCUUGAUUCUCACUUCCAGUGUUUCAAGUGGAAAACGUAUUUCCUUGUUGUCUCUGUAAAUGGAACAUCCUUAAUUUUCCUCUUAAAGAAUAUUGUACUGUUAGAUGUUUGUUGAACUGGUAGCAUCAUUGAGACUGCUGUGAUGUCUUUGUCAGUAAUCUGUAUAAUAUUUUGUAUACAAGUACUGGUAAGAUUGUUAUUAAGUGUAGCUCCAGUCAUUAAAUUACUAUAGCAAAGUAGUACUUCUGUAAUAUUUACAAUGUAUUAAGCCUACAGUAUAUUUUAUUUCAUUGAUGUAAUUUUAUUGUUAUUUAUUCAAGAGAAAGCAGUUCAUCAUGUCUAUUGUCUAAAAUUACCUGGAAUCAAAUAAAAGUUCUAGAUUAUCACGAAAAACCAUAAAA
rnacentral:lncRNA from 1 species